rnacentral:rRNA from 1 species
CACGCAGGCGGACCAGUAAGUCUGUCGUCAAAGGCGGAGGCUCAACCUUCGUUCCACGAUAGAUACUGCGGGGCUAGAGUACGGUAGAGGGUGGUGGAAUUUCCUGUGUAGCGGUGAAAUGCGUAGAUAUAGGAAGGAACACCAGUGGCGAAGGCGGCUCACUGGGCCAUUACUGACGCUGAGGCACGAAAGCGUGGGGAGCAAACA